rnacentral:rRNA from 1 species
UGAGUACGAGCUGCUACGGCAGCGAAGUGGGUGAUGUCAUGCUUCCAAGAAAAGCCCUAUACCCGUUAAGGCAUGAUGGCCUGUACCCGAAACCGACACAGGUGGGGUGGUAGAGAAUACCGAGGGGCGCGAGGUAACUCUCUCUAAGGAACUCGGCAAAAUGGCCCCGUAACUUCGGGAGAAGGGGUGCCACCGCAAGGUGGUCGCAGUGAAGAGGCCCAGGCGACUGUUUACCAAAAACACAGGUCUCCGCUAAGUCGCAAGACGAUGUAUGGGGGCUGACGCCUGCCCAGUGCCGGAAGGUUAAGGAAGCUGGUCAGCGUAAGCGAAGCUAGCGACUGAAGCCCCGGUGAACGGCGGCCGUAACUAUAACGGUCCUAAGGUAGCGAAAUUCCUUGUCGGGUAAGUUCCGACCCGCACGAAAGGCGUAACGAUCUGGGCGCUGUCUCGGAGAGAGGCUCGGCGAAAUAGAAUUGUCUGUGAAGAUGCGGACUACGUGCACCCGGACAGAAAGACCCUAUGAAGCUUUACUGUAGCUUGGUAUUGUGCUCGGGCUCGGAAUGCGCAGGAUAGGUGGGAGGCUAUGAACCAUUGCUUGCGGGUGAUGGUGAGCCACUGGUGAGAUACCACUCUUUCCGAGCUAGAGUUCUAACAGCCACCCGUUAUCCGGGGGCUGGACAGUAUCAGGUGGGCAGUUUGACUGGGGCGGUCGCCUCCUAAAAGGUAACGGAGGCGCGCAAAGGUUUGCUCAGGCUGGUUGGAAAUCAGCCGACGAGUGUAAAAGCAGAAGCAAGCUUGACUGUGAGACCUACAAGUCGAACAGGGAGGAAACUCGGCUUUAGUGAUCCGACGGUUCUGCGUGGAAGGGCCGUCGCUCAACGGAUAAAAGUUACUCUAGGAUAACAGGCUGAUCUCCCCCAAGAGUUCACAUCGACGGGGAGGUUUGGCACCUCGAUGUCGGCUCAUCGCAACCUGGGGCUGAAGUCGGUCCCAAGGGUUGGGCUGUUCGCCCAUUAAAGCGGUACGCGAGCUGGGUUCAGAACGUCGUGAGACAGUUCGGUCCAUAUCCGGUGCAUGCGCAGGAAUAUUGAGAGGAUUUCUCCCUAGUACGAGAGGACCGGGAGGAACGCACCUCUGGUGUACCAGUUAUCGUGCCAACGGUAAACGCUGGGUAGCCAUGUGCGGAGAGGAUAACCGCUGAAAGCAUCUAAGUGGGAAGCCCACCUCAAGAUGAGUAUUCCCAUGGGGUAACCCAGUAAGGUCACGGGAAGAACACCCGUUGAUAGGCUCUACGUGGAAGCGCAGUAAUGUGUGAAGCGGAGGAGUACUAAUAGACCGAGGGCUU